GACGAACGCUGGCGGCGUGCUUAACACAUGCAAGUCGAACGGUAAGGCCCUUCGGGGUACACGAGUGGCGAACGGGUGAGUAACACGUGGGUGAUCUGCCCUGCACUUCGGGAUAAGCCUGGGAAACUGGGUCUAAUACCGGAUAGGACCACUGCCUGCAUGGGUGGUGGUGGAAAGCUUUUGCGGUGUGGGAUGGGCCCGCGGCCUAUCAGCUUGUUGGUGGGGUGAUGGCCUACCAAGGCGACGACGGGUAGCCGGCCUGAGAGGGUGACCGGCCACACUGGGACUGAGAUACGGCCCAGACUUCUACGGGAGGCAGCAGUGGGGAAUAUUGCACAAUGGGCGCAGGCCUGAUGCAGCGACGCCGCGUGAGGGAUGACGGCCUUCGGGUUGUAAACCUCUUUCAGCACCGACGAAGCGCAAGUGACGGUAGGUGCAGAAGAAGGACCGGCCAACUACGUGCCAGCCGCCGCGGUAA
rnacentral:rRNA from 1 species